GCCUGGGUGGCUCAGUUGGUUGAGCAGCUGCCUUCGGCUCGGGUCAUGAUCCCAGCGUCAUGGGAUUGAGUCCCAUAUCAGGCU
rnacentral:tRNA from 1 species